CUCAGAGUAAACAGGUGGCGCUUACUAGUUAUUUAUGUAUUAGCGGACAAGACACGCCUCCGACCUCGAACAACUACUGCAUCCAAGCCCUCAAUGCUUUCCCAGAAGCCCUCCAUCCGCUCCAGGGACUCUGCUCCAUCCGAACCCCGGAGCGCUCAGGGCUCGGCCCUUUCCCAGUGCAGAGGGUUAACUCAAAGUCGUCCCUAAGAAAGGAUCUGAGAGCAGGGCAGUUUGCUUCGGGAGUGAGCUCAAGGCCUGGACUGGACGUCUGCGUUGAAGGGUAAAGAAGAGGGGCAGGACCUUUUUCCAGCCAAGCGGAAACCACUUUGAUGGAGCCCCAUUGCGUCGCCGCCCAGCCCGGCAACUGUGCCAGAUGAAGACCCCAUGGAGGUUACAGUGAGGACUCGAGAUCGUGACAGUGAGGAGAUGCAAGCCUGACCUGGUUUCCUGGUGGCAUCUGAUACUGAAGAGAGCAUCAUCUAUGGAGCUGUGCCUUACUAAGUCUCACUCUAGACCAGGCCAGCUUCCAGUUUGCAGUCCCCUUCAGCUUUGAAAUGCUGGACAGGCACGAGACACCAUGCCCAGCUUCAUCUGUUACUAGAGUGGGAGAGACCAUGGGAAAGAAGACAGGCAAAAACAGGUUAUAGGUGCCAACAGUAAGUUCUGUAAGCAACAUUAUUUUGCUAUUGGUGUAUCUGGUAAACAUCUGUGACUAGAGAUUGACCAAUAAAGACUUUGGAACUGUC
ensembl:lncRNA